AUGUGUGUAAGGGGUUUUAUGGGAACACCUCCUGUAGGCAUGAUAUUGCAUCAGCCCGAUUCUCCGGCCAGACGAGAAGGGUCUGGCUGCAACCACUGUGGAGCUCCACACCAGCAUUGCAGGAAUGCACAACAUGUUGCAGAAGACUCUUUCACUGCCCUCUGUGCCCCACUUUCAGCCCUACUGUCAGGGCAAAGAUUGAGGAACAUGAUGAACAUAAAUGGACACAUUAAAAUGCUUUGCCUUUCAAAGAUCAGCAAACGAAAGGAGACUUAA
ensembl:lncRNA